UAGCAUUCCUCACGGACAUCGGGCCGCCAGGCGCAUAAGGCCAAUGCGACGCCAAACGUCGUUCGGUCGAAGCGCGUUCAGCGCUAGUUUUGGGCAGACGAGGUCAGAGACCCGUUGCCUGCCGCGUGUUCCGCAUCCACGAGAUCGGGCGAGCGAUCGUGGGCCGCAACAAGAGCAAGAAACACGUGCAAAUGCCGCGGAACGCAAUCGUCACCAAAGGGUUCACCCGGAGCAAAGCCGUUUAGAACGGGCAGCGCACGAAUUUGGACAAAGGAAUUCCAUCAUCAUAGGUACGCAACACAGGAAACCGCACGCGACGGACGAGGCUAAGGUCGCUCUCGCACCAACGAUGAAGAGGAACGCACGGCAGGACGUCGCUGCC
rnacentral:misc_RNA from 1 species